UACGUAGGGUGCGAGCGUUGUCCGGAAUUAUUGGGCGUAAAGAGCUCGUAGGCGGUCUGUCGCGUCGAUCGUGAAAACUUGGGGCUUAACCCUGAGCUUGCGGUCGAUACGGGCAUGACUGGAGUUCGGCAGGGGAGACUGGAAUUCCUGGUGUAGCGGUGAAAUGCGCAGAUAUCGGGAGGAACACCAGUAGCGAAGGCGGCUCGCUGGGCCAUUCCUGACGCUGAGACGCGAAAGCUAGGGGAGCGAACAGG
rnacentral:rRNA from 1 species